rnacentral:lncRNA from 1 species
AGUUUCAUAAGAUCUGAUGGUUUUAUAAAUGGGAAUUCCCUUGCAAAAGCCCUCUUGCCUGCCGCCAUGUAAGACAUGCCUUUGCUUCUCCUUUGUCUUCUGCCAUGAUUGUGAGGCCUCCUCAGCCAUGGAACUUAGAAUGACUCCUGCCUGCUACAUUUCCCCAGAUACCCAGGACCUUCAUGCUGUCACUCUCCAUGACCUGACCAACAUCUAUUUUGAGAAAUUAUUUUAUAUACUCAUUCAAACAGUCAUCUUUUGUGUCCAGAGUUGGUUCCUUCUGGUGGGUUCGUGGUCUCGCUAACUUCAAGAAUGGAGCCACGGACCUUCGCGAAACUGCAAGUCUCCCUCUCCAAACCAAAUUCCUGAGACUGGAGCCCUGACCUGAGACUGGAGGUGAUCCAAAUGCUGAUAGUCAUCCUUAUUGCCACUAUCCCACUCUGCAUUUCCUGGUUGGAUAAACAUCUAAGAAAAUGCUGGUUUUGUCUUCAUCCAUGCAUACUUCUCCAUCUGCUUUCCAGUCUAUGCUCUCACAUACUGUGUCUGAAAGCCUGAACUAGGCCAGGCGCAUUGGCUCAUGCCUGUAGUCCUAGCAUUUUGGGAAGCUGAGGCAGGUGGAUCACCUGAGGUCAGGAGUUCCAGAUCAGCCUGGCCAACAUGGUGAAACCCCAUCUCUACUAAAAAUACAAAAAAAUUAGCCAUGUGUGGUGGUUCACACCAGUAAUCCCAGCUACAAGGGAAGCUGAGGCAGGAGAAUUACUUGAACCCAGGAGGUGGAGGUUGCAGUGAGCCAAGAUCGCACCACUGUACUCCAGCCUGGGUGACAGAAGAGACUCCGCCUCAAAAAAGUAAAAUAAAAUGAAAUGAAAGCCUGGACUACUCUCCAUCACCUGCAGCCAGAAUAUCCUUUGCCAGAACUUGUAUGACUUCCAUGAGCACAAGCAGCUCUGGGUUGUGGUUAUUCCAAUUUGGUCCAUUUAUUGAAUGAAAGCUAUCUGUGCCAUAGGCACAAGAUACAGUUCCUUUCAAAUUCUCCACUCAAACUUCUUUACCAGGAAACCUAAAACUAAAACUAAGCAUAAGCAAAACAGUAGUUGCAAAAGUAAAAUUGUUUCCCAUUAUCUGGGCAUAUUAUAGUUUCAAAUGUCCAUUUGCCCUUUUGAGGCCAAAUGCUAUCAGGACAGAGGUCACCUUUUCCUUUAAAUUCGUGAUAAUGUAAGAAAUACUCAUGAUAAGAUGAUUAUCCUUAGAAUACUCACAGCAAAGCUGAAACUACUCUUGAUGAAUACAGUUAUACGUGAUAACCUAAGGAAGAACUCUCUAGAGUAACAACAAUCUCACUCCUACAGCCACUAGAGGAAGUAUCUCCUAUAAUUCUCCCAAGGCAACCUCUUCUCGUCUCCCCUCUGCCUUUCUUUCCUCUUUUCCUCUUUUUUUCUCAUCCUCUUUUUCUCUCUCUUUCCUGUACAAAAUACUCUGUUCAUAUGAUGCAUAAAUUGUGUUUCAUUCAAGAUUGUAGCUGGAGAAGAAAUUAUUUUUGUAUUCAGUGCCUGUCUAUGUCCCCUCUGCUUCAUCUGUCAAUAUUGCCAGAACAUUAGAGCUAGAGGCUGUAUAGGUCUUUGGCAGAGCAAUUCUCUGAGGAACCUAGGGAAACUCUAGAAUAAAAAUGCAAUACAAUGUGGCCAAAUUUACAAAUGGAUACCCAUGUGGGAACAUUGUUUAUGAAAUCUUAACAUUCAAUUGAUCCAAACCAGUGAAGGCUGUCCUAACGCCGUGCAAAAUUAGUGGAUCAGUGUAUUAUAAUCUCGUUUAUGUCCCUUGAUUAGAUAGAUAAGCUACCAUGAAUCAGACCAACCACUAUUUAAACAUUAUCUGGUAGGGCAACAGUCAUAUGGACAAAUUUCAGAUAUCAAGAACAGAAAGGGAAGUGCCACAGUGAAAACAGAAAUGGACUGUGAGGAGUUGAGAAGCUUGCAAUCUAGAACACCAAAGACAUUUGAUCACACUUUUCAUCUUUUAUCCUCCACACUACUUAGCUCUUAUGAGCUAUCAAAACCAUUAUUUAAGAGACAGAGCUUCAGGAUAGCAUUCUUAGCAUUCUUAAGUUCUGUGCUGACAUCUCUGAGGACUUAGGUAACACGAAUUACUGUUGGGUUUGCUUCAUGAUGGUACUAACAACAAACUACAAACCAUGAGGCAGGAUACUGAGUUUCUAAAAGAUUUAUUUAAAGAUUCAUUUGAAUACUUUCCAUUACUAAUAUUAUUGUAUUAGUCUGUUCUCAUGCUGCCAAUAAAGACAUACCUGAGACUGAGUAAUUUAUAAAGGAAAGAUGUUUAAUGGAUUCACAGUUCCACAUGGCUAGGGAAGCCUCACAAUCAUGGAAGAAAGCAAAGGAGAAGCAAAGGCAAGUUUUACAUGGCAGCAGGUAAGAGAGCUUGUGAAGGGGGAACUCCC